rnacentral:rRNA from 1 species
GACGAACCGUGCGAACGUUGUUCGGAUUCACUGGGCUUAAAGGGCGCGUAGGCGGAUGGUCAAGUCGGGGGUGAAAUCUUUCAGCUUAACUGGAAAAGUGCCUCCGAUACUGAUCGUCUCGAGGGAGGUAGGGGCAUGUGGAACUUCCGGUGGAGCGGUGAAAUGCGUAGAUAUCGGAAGGAACGCCGGUGGCGAAAGCGACACACUGGGUCUCAACUGACGCUGAGGCACGAAAGCCAGGGGAGCGAACGGG